UCCCUCGUGGCUCAGACGGUAAAGCGUCUGCAUACAAUGCAGAAGACCCGGGUUCCAUCCCUGGGUCGGGAA
rfam:Ovis aries breed Texel chromosome 13, whole genome shotgun sequence.